rnacentral:rRNA from 1 species
UACGUAGGGGGCAAGCGUUGUCCGGAUUUAUUGGGCGUAAAGAGCGUGUAGGCGGCCGUACAGGUCAGCUGUGAAAACUCGAGGCUCAACCUCGAGACGUCGGUUGAAACCGUACGGCUAGAGUCCGGAAGAGGAGAGUGGAAUUCCCGGUGUAGCGGUGAAAUGCGCAGAUAUCGGGAAGAACACCCGUGGCGAAAGCGGCGCACUGGACCACAACUGACGCUGAGGCGCGAAAGCUAGGGGAGCAAACAGG